GAUGAAGAACGUAGCGAAAUGCGAUAAGUAAUGCGAAUUGCAGAAUCCGUGAGUCAUCGAAUCUUUGAACGCACAUUGCGCCCCUUGGUUAUUCCGAAGGGCAUGCCUGUUCGAGCGUCAUUAUCACCCCUCAAGCCCUGGCUUGGUGUUGGACUUUAGUUAUAGCUUUGCCUAUCAACUGGUCUCAAAGAUAGUGACGGCGCCCCAGAGGGAACCGGGUACGAGGAGCUUUUUACUAAGCAUGUAUCUGGGACGACUCUGGGCGACGGUCUUGUUAUACUUUCUACCUAAGUGUUGACCUCGGAUCAGGUAGGAAUACCCGCUGAACUUAAGCAUAUCAAUAAGCGGAGGA
rnacentral:misc_RNA from 1 species